rnacentral:rRNA from 1 species
AGAGUUUGAUCAUGGCUCAGAACGAACGCUGGCGGCAGGCCUAACACAUGCAAGUCGAGCGCGCCUUCGGGCGAGCGGCGGACGGGUUAGUAACGCGUGGGAACGUGCCCAGAUCUACGGAAUAGCCACUGGAAACGGUGAGUAAUACCGUAUACGCCCUUCGGGGGAAAGAUUUAUCGGAUUUGGAUCGGCCCGCGUUAGAUUAGGUAGUUGGUGGGGUAACGGCCUACCAAGCCUACGAUCUAUAGCUGGUUUUAGAGGAUGAUCAGCAACACUGGGACUGAGACACGGCCCAGACUCCUACGGGAGGCAGCAGUGGGGAAUCUUGGACAAUGGGGGCAACCCUGAUCCAGCCAUGCCGCGUGAGUGAAGAAGGCCCUAGGGUCGUAAAACUCUUUCGCCUGUGAUGAUAAUGACAGUAGCAGGUAAAGAAACCCCGGCUAACUCCGUGCCAGCCGCCGCGGUAAUAC